UCCUACGGGGGGCAGCAGUGAGGAAUAUUGGUCAAUGGUCGGGAGACUGAACCAGCCAAGCCGCGUGAGGGAUGAAGGUACAGAGUAUCGUAAACCUCCUUUGUCAGGGAACAAAGGCGGGGACGUGUCCCCGGAUGAGUGUACCUGAAGAAAAAGCAUCGGCUAACUCCGUGCCAGCAGCCGCGGUAAUACGGAGGAUGCGAGCGUUAUCCGGAUUUAUUAGGUUUAAAGGGUGCGCAGGCGGUCUGUUAAGUCAGCGGUCAAAGCCCGGGGCUCAACCCCGGCCCGCCGUUGAAACUGGCAGU
rnacentral:rRNA from 1 species